AAGCGUCUCAGCUGCCUGAGAGGGAAAUUGAAGCCUAGACAGCCGAAGUGGCAAGCCUUCUAAUAGCAAAGGAAUGACUGACCAUGUUGCCCAGUGCAGUGAUCUGUCACCAAACUGACACCCUCUGUGGUUAAUAUUACAGUUUAGGAGAAGAAGUUUGACAGCUUUCCUCAGGUUGAAAAGAAAACACAACAGAAUGGUUUAGUUUGUCCAGCUGCUGUGUUCAGAGUUACCUUAAAGGCUCAGGUGGUGACAGCAGCGUGUUCAGUGACCUGGACUUAUUUAUUACAUAUUUUUAUUGUUACAAACUGGCCAUUCAGUGUCUGGCUCUCAGAGUGUCCUGUGUGCUAUAAUACAAAUCCGUCCCAAGGGAAAUGUUCUCAGUUAACCAGCCUGGUUACUCUACACGGAAAUCGGUUGAGAAGAAUUAAAAUUCUAUCUUUGCUUUCCAGACUGCACUGGGGUCAAGUCUACUUUGGUAGUUUCCUGUGCGGAAGCCUCAGCAGGGGUCUGUGGCUUCAGGAUUCUGCCUAGAACAUGUUGACUCCACAGGGAAGUUGAAAGCAGCCGGACAAGAAGUGACUGAUGACUGAUGCAGACAGAAAGAGAAACAUCGACCCGAUGAGCUGCUCCAGGUUAAUGACCUAGAAGAGGCAAGGGACAUUUACACAGCCUCUGAUGCGCCCUUUGCUGUUGCCAUGCAACAACAUGUCGCCGACUGAUUCACUCAUCUCACUAAAUAAUGAAGUGUCUCUGCGGAAAAGAAAAGUC
rnacentral:lncRNA from 1 species